AGAGUUUGAUCAUGGCUCAGGAUGAACGCUGGCGGCACGCUUAACACAUGCAAGUCGAACGAGGUCCAUGGAGCUUGCUCCGGAAGACUUAGUGGCGAACGGGUGCGUAACACGUGAGAAAUCUGCCCCGGACUUCGGAAUAACAGUUGGAAACGACUGCUAAUACCGGAUGCCUUCAUUUGACCGCAUGGUUGUUUAAAGAAAGAUUUAUCGGUUUGGGAGGAUCUCGCGGCCUAUCAGCUUGUUGGAGAGGUAACGGCUCACCAAGGCUUCGACGGGUAGCUGGUCUGAGAGGAUGAUCAGCCACACUGGAACUGAGACACGGUCCAGACUCCUACGGGAGGCAGCAGUGGGGAAUCUUGCACAAUGGGCGCAAGCCUGAUGCAGCGAUGCCGCGUGCGGGAAGAAGGCCUUAGGGUUGUAAACCGCUUUCAGGAGGGAAGAAAAUGACGGUACCUCCAGAAGAAGGUGCGGCCAACUACGUGCCAGCAGCCGCGGUGACACGUAGGCACCAAGCGUUAUCCGGAUUUAUUGGGCGUAAAGAGCUCGUAGGCGGUUUGGUAAGUCGGGUGUGAAAACUCUGGGCUCAACCCAGAGAGGCCACUCGAUACUGCUAUGACUAGAGUACGGUAGGGGAGCGGGGAAUUCCU
rnacentral:rRNA from 1 species